rnacentral:rRNA from 1 species
GACGAACGCUGGCGGCGUGCCUAAUACAUGCAAGUCGAACGCAUAGUCUUUCACCGUAGCUUGCUACACCGAAAGAAAAUGGGGGGCGAACGGGGGAGUAACACGUGGGUAACCUGCCCAUCAGCGGGGGAUAACACUAGGAAACAGGGGCUAAUACCGCAAAAUUCAAGUUACCGCAGGGAAAAUGGGUGAAAGGCGCUUUUGCGGCACUGAUGGAGGGGCCCGAGGUGGUUUGGCAAGUUGGUGGGGUAAACGCCUACCAAGGGUGCGGGGCAUAGCCGGCCUGGGAAGGGGAUCGGCCACAAUGGGACUGGGACCCGGCCCCGACUCCUCCGGGGGGCAGCAGUAGGGGAUCUUCGGCCAUGGGCGCAAGUCUGAACGGGCAACGCCGCGGGAGUGAAUGAGGUUUUCGGAUCGUAAAAAUCUGUUGUUAGGGGAGAACAAGGAUGAGAGUGGAAAGUUCACCCCUUGACGGUAUCUAACCAGAAAGCCACGGCUAACUACGUG